rnacentral:rRNA from 1 species
AUUGAACGCUGGCGGCAGGCUUAACACAUGCAAGUCGAACGCCCCGCAAGGGGAGUGGCAGACGGGUGAGUAACGCGUGGGAAUCUACCUAGUUCUACGGAACAACACAGGGAAACUUGUGCUAAUACCGUAUACGCCCUACGGGGGAAAGAUUUAUCGGAAUUAGAUGAGCCCGCGUAAGAUUAGCUAGUUGGUGAGGUAAUGGCUCACCAAGGCGACGAUCUUUAGCUGGUCUGAGAGGAUGAUCAGCCAUACUGGGACUGAGACACGGCCCGGACUCCUACGGGAGGAAGCAGUGGGGAAUAUUGGACAAUGGGCGAAAGCCUGAUCCAGCCAUGCCGCGUGAGUGAUGAAGGCCUUAGGGUUGUAAAGCUCUUUCAGUAGGGAAGAUAAUGACGGUACCUACAGAAGAAGCCCCGGCUAACUUCGUGCCAGCCGCCGCCGUAAUAC